CAUUCUUCUGUAGGCAGGCCAGCAUCAGUUUGGGCGGUUGGAUAAAGACCUCUGUCACGUACCUUCUCUCGGGAAGGCCUUAUAGGGGAGGUGUCAUGCAACCAGCCUGGACUGAGGUCCGCGCAUCUGCUAGGAUGCUGGCGUAAUGGCUGUAAGCGG
rnacentral:rRNA from 1 species